GUUGAGAUCUUGUAGUAGAUGUUGGCAAUAGUUGGUUCAUUGUAGGAGUAGGGUGCAUAUCUAGAUGUAAUCUAUCAAUCUUAAUAGAGAGUAGUCCUAUGAAAUUUGAGUGGCUAAGUCUGAAAGUCUGUAGCCACAGCAGUGUGAUUGAAGAAAAAAUUUUUUUAUGAGGAUCACAAUUAGAUUUAAGUUAAUCGAAUCUAUCAUAUGAUUGAUGAUAAGGUUUGAUAAUUUAUUCAUAACCUACUAUCUAGUCGGGACUCAC
rnacentral:lncRNA from 1 species